rnacentral:tRNA from 1 species
GCUCUUGUAGCUCAGUUGGUUAGAGCACCCGUUUAGUAAGUGGGAGGUCUUGAGUUCAACUCUCAACGAAAGCU